ACUCAAAUGAAUAGACGGGGGCCCGCACAAGCGGUGGAGCAUGUGGUUUAAUUCGACGCAACGCGCAGAACCUUACCAGGGCUAGACAAGGUAGGAACCUGGGAGAAAUCCUGGGGUGCUCGCAAGAGAGCCUACAUCCAGGUGCUGCAUGGCUGUCGUCAGCUCGUGUCGUGAGAUGUUGGGUUAAGUCCCGCAACGAGCGCAACCCUUAUCGUUAGUUGCCAGCAGGUAAAGCUGGGCACUCUAACGAGACUGCCGGCGUCAAGCCGGAGGAAGGUGGGGAUGACGUCAAGUCCUCAUGGCCCUCAUGUCCUGGGCUACACACGUGCUACAAUGGUACAUACAAAGCGUUGCCACCUCGCGAGAGCGCGCUAAUCGCAGAAAGUGUACCUCAGUACGGAUUGCAGUCUGCAACUCGACUGCAUGAAGUCGGAAUCGCUAGUAAUCGCUGAUCAGCAGGCAGCGGUGAAUACGUUCCCGGGCCUUGUACACACCGCCCGU
rnacentral:rRNA from 1 species